AGAUGAUCCGGCCAAUAGACACGUCGUCCCUGAAGGCAGGGUUCUGCGGGAUACCCUUCCAGAUCUUGUUCGCCGCAUCGUAGCUGCACGAAAAAAGGAGGCGGCGGAGGAGGAGGCGGUGGCGGUGGCGGUGGUGCUGGCGGUGGAGGUGGCGCUGGAAAUAAAAACAAAGCCGGCGGAGGAGGCGGUGACAAAGGCGGAGCCAAGAAAGGACAAGAGCAAAAGUCAGCCGCAGGCGGUGGCAAGAAAGGCGGAAAGAAAUAGCAACGGUGGCAACAUCAAAGCGCAUUAAAAAUUACAAAUUUAGAAUUAAGUUGAAAUUUAAUGUGGUAUCAGGGAAUAAAUAUGUAUCUAUAAUA
rnacentral:sRNA from 1 species